rnacentral:rRNA from 1 species
GCCACCACGAGAGGGUGGGACUCAGGCGGACCGCCGGUGAACAACCGGAGGAAGGUGGGGACGACGUCAAGUCAUCAUGGCCCUUAUGUCCUGGGCUACACACGUGCUACAAUGGCCGGUACAGAGCGCAGCGAGGCCGCGAGGCGGAGCGAAUCGCUUAAAGCCGGUCCCAGUACGGAUUGGAGUCUGCAACCCGACUCCAUGAAGUUGGAAUCGCUAGUAAUCGCGCAUCAGCAUGGCGCGGUGAAUACGUUCCCGGGCCUU